GUACACAAAAAUGCACAUAUUGUGAGCUCGAUGAGUAGGGCGGGACACGUGGUAUCCUGUCUGAAUAUGGGGGGACCAUCCUCCAAGGCUAAAUACUCCUGACUGACCGAUAGUGAACCAGUACCGUGAGGGAAAGGCGAAAAGAACCCCGGCGAGGGGAGUGAAAAAGAACCUGAAACCGUGUACGUACAAGCAGUGGGAGCCUCUUUAUGGGGUGACUGCGUACCUUUUGUAUAAUGGGUCAGCGACUUAUAUUCUGUAGCAAGGUUAACCGAAUAGGGGAGCCGAAGGGAAACCGAGUCUUAACUGGGCGUUAAGUUGCAGGGUAUAGACCCGAAACCCGGUGAUCUAGCCAUGGGCAGGUUGAAGGUUGGGUAACACUAACUGGAGGACCGAACCGACUAAUGUUGAAAAAUUAGCGGAUGACUUGUGGCUGGGGGUGAAAGGCCAAUCAAACCGGGAGAUAGCUGGUUCUCCCCGAAAGCUAUUUAGGUAGCGCCUCGUGAAUUCAUCUCCGGGGGU
rnacentral:rRNA from 1 species